UACGAAGGGGGCUAGCGUUGCUCGGAAUUACUGGGCGUAAAGGGCGCGUAGGCGGAUAGUUUAGUGAGAGGUGAAAGCCCAGGGCUCAACCUUGGAACUGCCUUUCAUACUGGCUAUCUUGAGUACGGGAGAGGUGAGUGGAACUCCGAGUGUAGAGGUGAAAUUCGUAGAUAUUCGGAAGAACACCAGUGGCGAAGGCGACUCACUGGCCCGUUACUGACGCUGAGGCGCGAAAGCGUGGGGAGCAAACAGGAUUAGAAACCCCUGUAGU
rnacentral:rRNA from 1 species